rnacentral:lncRNA from 10 species
GUCAUGUUUUAGUUCUCAAGGGGAAUGGUUUCAGUUCAUUUUAUUGGACUCCUUAUUCAGUAUGAUAUUGGUUGUGGAUUUGUCACAGGUGGUUCUUAUUUUUUAGAGAUUUUUUUCCAUCACUUUACUUUGAGCCUAUCAGUGUCAUUGAAUGGGAGAUCGUUCUCUUGAAGACAGCAUACAAUUGGGUCUUGCUUAUUUAUUCAAUUUUCCACUCUGUGCCUUUUAGGUGGGGUAAGUAGCCUGUUUACAUUCAAACUUAAUAUUGAUAUGCAUGGAUUUAAUCCUGCCAGCAUGUUUUUAGCUGGUUGUUGUGCAACCUUGAUUGUGUAGUUGCUUUAAGUGUCUAUGUACUUAAGUGUGUUCUUGUGGUGGCCAGUAAUGGUCUUUUGUUUCCAGUUUAGCACUCACUUAAGGGUUUCUUGUAAGGCAGGUCUGGUGGUAACAAAUUCCCUUAGAAUUUGCUUGUCUGAAAAGG